CCUACGGGCGGCAGCAGUGAGGAAUAUUGGUCAAUGGGCGUAAGCCUGAACCAGCCAAGUCGCGUGAGGGAUGAAGGUUCUAUGGAUCGUAAACCUCUUUUAUAAGGGAAUAAAGUGUGGGACGUGUCCUAUUUUGUAUGUACCUUAUGAAUAAGGAUCGGCUAACUCCGUGCCAGCAGCCGCGGUAAUACGGAGGAUCCGAGCGUUAUCCGGAUUUAUUGGGUUUAAAGGGUGUGUAGGCGGCCUUUUAAGUCAGCGGUGAAAGUGUGUGGUUCAACCAUAGAAUUGCCGUUGAAACUGGGGGGCUUGAGUAUGUGUGAGGCAGGCGGAAUGCGUGGUGUAGCGGUGAAAUGCGUAGAUAUCACGCAGAACCCCGAUUGCGAAGGCAGCCUGCCAAGCCAUGACUGACGCUGAUGCACGAAAGCGUGGGGAUCAAACAGGAUUAGAUACCCUGGUAGUC
rnacentral:rRNA from 1 species